GUGAACAUACCAAUUGUUGCCUCGGCGCAUCAGCCCGCUCCCGGUAAAACGGGACGGCCCGCCAGAGGACCCCUAAACUCUGUUUCUAUAUGUAACUUCUGAGUAAAACCAUAAAUAAAUCAAAACUUUCAACAACGGAUCUCUUGGUUCUGGCAUCGAUGAAGAACGCAGCAAAAUGCGAUAAGUAAUGUGAAUUGCAGAAUUCAGUGAAUCAUCGAAUCUUUGAACGCACAUUGCGCCCGCCAGUAUUCUGGCGGGCAUGCCUGUUCGAGCGUCAUUUCAACCCUCAAGCCCCCGGGUUUGGUGUUGGGGAUCGGCGAGCCCUUGCGGCAAGCCGGCCCCGAAAUCUAGUGGCGGUCUCGCUGCAGCUUCCAUUGCGUAGUAGUAAAACCCUCGCAACUGGUACGCGGCGCGGCCAAGCCGUUAAACCCCCAACUUCUGAAUGUUGACCUCGGAUCAGGUAGGAAUACCCGCUGAACUUAAGCAUAUCAAUAAGCGGUGGA
rnacentral:rRNA from 1 species